rnacentral:rRNA from 1 species
GAACGCAGCGAAAUGCGAUACGUAGUGUGAAUUGCAGAAUUCCGUGAACCAUCGAAUCUUUGAACGCAUAUUGCGCUCGAGCCCUCGGGCAAGAGCAUGUCUGCCUCAGCGUCGGUUU